GGGGUUGGAGUUAAGAAUUUAUUUUUAAACUUGUCUGAAACCCGUCAUGAGCCUUAACGAGAGGUGUGAUGUGGAGCUGAGUGAUGACAUCUAGAGCGUGAGUGAUGUAAUAUAAUAUUAAACUUUUUUAUUUUAUAUUAUAUACGUGUAUUUAGUGAUUUGUAUUCGAUCAUCAACCAUUUACAUAUAUAUCAGAAAAUUAUUAGAAUCCACGAAAAAUAGGAAUCUAUAUGGUUUCAAGAAUUAAGA
rnacentral:lncRNA from 1 species